rnacentral:rRNA from 1 species
UACGGAGGGGACUAGCGUUGUUCGGAAUUACUGGGCGUAAAGCGCACGUAGGCGGACUAUUAAGUCAGGGGUGAAAUCCCGGGGCUCAACCCCGGAACUGCCUUUGAUACUGGUAGUCUCGAGUCCGGAAGAGGUGAGUGGAAUUCCGAGUGUAGAGGUGAAAUUCGUAGAUAUUCGGAGGAACACCAGUGGCGAAGGCGGCUCACUGGUCCGGUACUGACGCUGAGACGCGAAAGCGUGGGGAGCAAACAGG